AAUAAUAUGAAAGCCCCCUGAGGCGGGGCUGUAAAACAAUUAUUGAGAAAAUUCAAAACCUUGAUCAUGUAAUGUAUUGUUAUGCAUUCAUUUCACCAUGUUUAUCACGACAAAAUAUUCUCUAUUCUUAGAAUCACCCAAUCACAAAUAACUAGGUACAAUAAUUCACACCCAAUCAUACAUGGCCAAGAAAAAAUAUCCCUAAGCUUGAACAAGGGAAAGAUUAGCAGAAAACCAGUAUUAGUGAUUAACAUCCAACGAUGUCAAACAUUUCCCCACUGUUGACCCGGUUGGUCCCUUUCUCAUCUUGAUGAAUUGAGUUGGUUUCACGGAUUUCGCUUCGGUGAAGUCGAUGCUCCACUCCCGAUAACCCUCGCAUGAAUCAAUAAACAAUUGCAAUUAAAUAUCCAAAUAUAGAAAUGUCCCCAAAUGAAUUCAAUCAUGUUUAACUUAGAGUUAAGUAUACCCAAGGACUUGGGAUUAUAUCCCCAUCGUGAACCAUACUCAGAAAUUUAAGCAAAAUAAACAAAAAAUGUAUACAAAAUAUGUAAAGCAGCCAAUAAUCCCUAGAAAAGCAUACAGAACCAAUUAUCCCUUUCUUCCCCUUUAACCUUCCUAUCAAGAUGGAUAGCUGGGUAAUGGAAUUUCUCAACUGGAAUGGAAUCAAUUAUACAGAGCAAUACCUCCGCUGAUUAAGGACCCGGGCUUUCAGCUGUUGUUGCCGGUCUUUCAACUGACAACCAGCUUUGAGAACGCGAUACUGGUGGUAAUGGCAAGUUGCCGGAUCUUUGAGUGCCAUUCGAGAUUUUGGGUAUUGGGGUGUGAUUUUCUGGAUUCAUAGGAGAGAGAGAGAGAUGGACGAUCUGAGUUGGGGGUUUCGAUUUUCUUGCUCUUUGAUUUUCGAUUGGAGAUCAGAACUGGAGACCCUUAGGGCACGGCGGUGGAUGAUGAUUCCCCGCGGCACCGAUUUUUGCCGAAUAAGGCGGCUCAAACAGGGACUUCGAAUUGUGGUUGGAUUUUGGGAUUUGGGCGAUUUUCGCUGGGAUUUGAGAAGAAUCCUCUCUGGAUCUGUGAUUGGCUUAUUGUUACCGGAGGUUAUCAGUUGUGGAGAGAGACGGAUCUCUACGAUUGGGAUAAAAAUGGGGAUCUGAUUUUCUAGCUUAUCAUUUUCGAUUUAGGGAGAAGAGAGGUGAGAACCUUGAAUUGGCCUUGACGCCGGGAACGAACAGUGACAAUGAACAGUGAUGAACAGUGUCACGACACCGGAUUUUCCCACAACCAAACAGUGAUGAACACUGUCACGACACCGGAUUUUCCCACAACCAACAACCAACAGUGAUGAACAGUGUCAUGAACAGUACCACACAGUGGCGAACAGUGAUGAACAGUGACGAACAGUGAUGAACAGUGACUGGAAAAACAAUGAAUCUCACGCCUUAGCUCGAUUUUCCCACAGACGGCGCCAGUUGGUGAAACGAGAAACCAACACCUAAACUAGAAAGCAGUAAACGACACCGGAUUUACGUGGUUCGGUCGAGAAGACCUACGUCCACGGAUUUACGUGGUUCGGUCGAGAAGACCUACGUCCACGGGGUGUUUUGGGGUUUUUUCACUAUAUUCGAGAGAGUAUUACAUUUUAC
rnacentral:lncRNA from 1 species